CAAUAGCGUAUAUUUAAGUUGCUGCAGUUAAAAAGCUCGUAGUUGGAUUUCGGGUGGGAAUGGCCGGUCCGCCGUUUCGGUGUGCACUUGCUACGCCCACCUUGCUGCCGGGGACGUGCUCUUGAGUUCACGCUCGGGACACGGAGUCGGCGAGGUUACUUUGAGUAAAUUAGAGUGUUCAAAGCAGGCCUACGCUCUGAAUACAUUAGCAUGGAAUAGCACGAUAGGACUCUGGCCUAUCUUGUUGGUCUGUAGGACCGGAGUAAUGAUUAAGAGGGACAGUCGGGGGCAUUCGUAUUUCGUUGUCAGAGGUGAAAUUCUUGGAUUUAUGAAAGACGAACUACUGCGAAAGCAUUUGCCAAGGAUGUUUUCAUUAA
rnacentral:rRNA from 1 species